rnacentral:tRNA from 1 species
GGACCCGUGUGGUAACUUGGAUAGCCGGCGUGGCUUCGGACCACGAGAUGAGGGUUCGAAUCCCUUCGGGUCCA